rnacentral:piRNA from 1 species
GAAGCAAGUUGUAUUCAUGUGUUUCUCUGU